UAAGUGAAUAGUGAAAUCUGGCGGCUCAACCGUACAGACUAUUAUUCAAACUGGCAAACUCGAGAAUGGUAGAGGUAACUGGAAUUUCUGAAGUAGGGGUAAUAUCCGUAGAUAUCAGAAGGAACACCAAUGGCGUAGGCAGGUUACUGGACCAUUUCUGACACUGAGGCACGAAAGCGUGGGGAGCGAACCGGAUUAGAUACCCGGGUAGUCCACGCCGUAAACGAUGGAUACUA
rnacentral:rRNA from 1 species